UUUCCGUAGGUGAACCUGCGGAAGGAUCAUUACUGAGUGAGGGCCCUCUGGGUCCAACCUCCCACCCGUGUUUAUUGUACCUUGUUGCUUCGGUGAGCCCGCCUCACGGCCGCCGGGGGGCAUCUGCCCCCGGGCCCGCGCUCGCCGAAGACACCCUUGAACUAUGUCUGAAGUUUGCAGUCUGAGAGAAAACUAAAUAAGUUAAAACUUUCAACAACGGAUCUCUUGGUUCCG
rnacentral:misc_RNA from 1 species